GGGUUGUGAGGUUAAGCGACUAAGCGUACACGGUGGAUGCCCUGGCAGUCAGAGGCGAUGAAGGACGUGCUAAUCUGCGAAAAGCGCCGGUAAGGUGAUAUGAACCGUUAUAACCGGCGAUGUCCGAAUGGGGAAACCCAGUGUGACUCGUCACACUAUCAUUAACUGAAUCCAUAGGUUAAUGAGGCGAACCGGGGGAACUGAAACAUCUAAGUACCCCGAGGAAAAGAAAUCAACCGAGAUUCCCCCAGUAGCGGCGAGCGAACGGGGAGCAGCCCAGAGCCUGAAUCAGCUUGUGUGUUAGUGGAAGCGUCUGGAAAGUCGCGCGAUACAGGGUGACAGCCCCGUACACAAAAGCACACAGGCUGUGAGCUCGAUGAGUAGGGCGGGACACGUGGUAUCCUGUCUGAAUAUGGGGGGACCAUCCUCCAAGGCUAAAUACUCCUGACUGACCGAUAGUGAACCAGUACCGUGAGGGAAAGGCGAAAAGAACCCCGGCGAGGGGAGUGAAAAAGAACCUGAAACCGUGUACGUACAAGCAGUGGGAGCAUCCUUCGGGGUGUGACUGCGUACCUUUUGUAUAAUGGGUCAGCGACUUAUAUUCUGUAGCAAGGUUAACCGCAUAGGGGAGCCGAAGGGAAACCGAGUCUUAACUGGGCGUUAAGUUGCAGGGUAUAGACCCGAAACCCGGUGAUCUAGCCAUGGGCAGGUUGAAGGUUGGGUAACACUAACUGGAGGACCGAACCGACUAAUGUUGAAAAAUUAGCGGAUGACUUGUGGCUGGGGGUGAAAGGCCAAUCAAACCGGGAGAUAGCUGGUUCUCCCCGAAAGCUAUUUAGGUAGCGCCUCGUGAAUUCAUCUCCGGGGGUAGAGCACUGUUUCGGCUAGGGGGCCAUCCCGGCUUACCAACCCGAUGCAAACUACGAAUACCGGAGAAUGUUAUCACGGGAGACACACGGCGGGUGCUAACGUCCGUCGUGAAGAGGGAAACAACCCAGACCGCCAGCUAAGGUCCCAAAGUCAUGGUUAAGUGGGAAACGAUGUGGGAAGGCCCAGACAGCCAGGAUGUUGGCUUAGAAGCAGCCAUCAUUUAAAGAAAGCGUAAUAGCUCACUGGUCGAGUCGGCCUGCGCGGAAGAUGUAACGGGGCUAAACCAUGCACCGAAGCUGCGGCAGCGACGCUUAUGCGUUGUUGGGUAGGGGAGCGUUCUGUAAGCCUGCGAAGGUGGCCUGUGAGGGUUGCUGGAGGUAUCAGAAGUGCGAAUGCUGACAUAAGUAACGAUAAAGCGGGUGAAAAGCCCGCUCGCCGGAAGACCAAGGGUUCCUGUCCAACGUUAAUCGGGGCAGGGUGAGUCGACCCCUAAGGCGAGGCCGAAAGGCGUAGUCGAUGGGAAACAGGUUAAUAUUCCUGUACUUGGUGUUACUGCGAAGGGGGACGGAGAAGGCUAUGUUAGCCGGGCGACGGUUGUCCCGGUUUAAGCGUGAAGGUGUGUGCUCCAGGCAAAUCCGGAGCACUUUAACACUGAGGCGUGAUGACGAGGCACUACGGUGCUGAAGUAACAAAUGCCCUGCUUCCAGGAAAAGCCUCUAAGCUCCAGGUAACACGAAAUCGUACCCCAAACCGACACAGGUGGUCAGGUAGAGAAUACCAAGGCGCUUGAGAGAACUCGGGUGAAGGAACUAGGCAAAAUGGUGCCGUAACUUCGGGAGAAGGCACGCUGAUACGUAGGUGAAGUCCCUCGCGGAUGGAGCUGAAAUCAGUCGAAGAUACCAGCUGGCUGCAACUGUUUAUUAAAAACACAGCACUGUGCAAACACGAAAGUGGACGUAUACGGUGUGACGCCUGCCCGGUGCCGGAAGGUUAAUUGAUGGGGUCAUCCGUAAGGAGAAGCUCUUGAUCGAAGCCCCGGUAAACGGCGGCCGUAACUAUAACGGUCCUAAGGUAGCGAAAUUCCUUGUCGGGUAAGUUCCGACCUGCACGAAUGGCGUAAUGAUGGCCAGGCUGUCUCCACCCGAGACUCAGUGAAAUUGAACUCGCUGUGAAGAUGCAGUGUACCCGCGGCAAGACGGAAAGACCCCGUGAACCUUUACUAUAGCUUGACACUGAACACUGGUCCUUGAUGUGUAGGAUAGGUGGGAGGCUUUGAAGCGUGGACGCCAGUCUGCGUGGAGCCGCCCUUGAAAUACCACCCUUUAAUGGCUGGUGUUCUAACGUGGACCCGUAAUCCGGGUUGCGGACAGUGUCUGGUGGGUAGUUUGACUGGGGCGGUCUCCUCCUAAAGCGUAACGGAGGAGCACGAAGGUCAGCUAAUCCUGGUCGGACAUCAGGAGGUUAGUGCAAUGGCAUAAGCUGGCUUGACUGCGAGCGUGACGGCGCGAGCAGGUGCGAAAGCAGGUCAUAGUGAUCCGGUGGUUCUGAAUGGAAGGGCCAUCGCUCAACGGAUAAAAGGUACUCCGGGGAUAACAGGCUGAUACCGCCCAAGAGUUCAUAUCGACGGCGGUGUUUGGCACCUCGAUGUCGGCUCAUCACAUCCUGGGGCUGAAGUAGGUCCCAAGGGUAUGGCUGUUCGCCAUUUAAAGUGGUACGCGAGCUGGGUUUAGAACGUCGUGAGACAGUUCGGUCCCUAUCUGCCGUGGGCGCUGGAGAAUUGAGGGGGGCUGCUCCUAGUACGAGAGGACCGGAGUGGACGCAUCACUGGUGUUCGGGUUGUCAUGCCAAUGGCACUGCCCGGUAGCUAAAUGCGGAAGAGAUAAGUGCUGAAAGCAUCUAAGCACGAAACUUGCCCCGAGAUGAGUUCUCCCUGAGACCCUGAGUCUCCUGAAGGAACGUUGAAGACGACGACGUUGAUAGGCCGGGUGUGUAAGCGCAGCGAUGCGUUGAGCUAACCGGUACUAAUGAACCGUGAGGCUUAACCUUACAACGCCGAAG
rnacentral:rRNA from 1 species